ACAGAGGGUGCAAGCGUUGUUCGGAAUUAUUGGGCGUAAAGGGUGCGUAGGCGGACAGGUAGGUCCGUGGUGAAAUCUCUGGGCUUAACUCAGAAACUGCCGUUGAUACUAUUUGUCUUGAAUAUCCUGGAGGUAGGCGGAAUAUGUCAUGUAGCGGUGAAAUGCUUAGAUAUGACAUAGAACACCGAUAGCGAAGGCAGCUUACUACAGGAUGAUUGACGCUGAGGCACGAAAGCGUGGGGAGCAAACAGGA
rnacentral:rRNA from 1 species